CUGCGGAAGGAUCAUUACCGA
rnacentral:rRNA from 1 species